rnacentral:rRNA from 1 species
GAUGAACGCUAGCGGCAGGCUUAAUACAUGCAAGUCGAGGGGCAGCACGAAUAGCAAUAUUUGGUGGCGACCGGCGCACGGGUGCGUAAACACGUAUACAACCUACCUAUAACAGGGGGAUAGCCUUUCGAAAGAGAGAUUAAUACCCCGUAAUAAAUUGAGUGGCAUCACUUGAUUUUGAAAGCUCCGGCGGUUAUAGAUGGGUAUGCGUCUGAUUAGCUAGUUGGUGAGGUAAUGGCUCACCAAGGCGACGAUCAGUAGGGGAUCUGAGAGGACUAACCCCCACACUGGUACUGAGACACGGACCAGACUCCUACGGGAGGCAGCAGUAAGGAUAUUGGUCAAUGGAGGCAACUCUGAACCAGCCAUGCCGCGUGCAGGAUGACGGCCCUAUGGGUUGUAAACUGCUUUUGUACCAGAGAAAACCCCAGUACGUGUACUGGGUUGAUAGUAUGGUAAGAAUAAGCAUCGGCUAACUUCGUGCCAGCAGCCGACGG